rnacentral:tRNA from 1 species
GCCUGGGUGGCUCAGUUAGUUAAGCAUCUGAUUUCAGCCCAGGUCAUGAUCUCACAGUUCGUGAGUUUGAGUCUUACUUCAGGUG